AAGACAGUGAACUAAUAUCACAAAUUUUAAAUUAUAAUUUAAAGGCAAAAGAUAAAAGAGCCUUAUAAUACAAAACUUACGAAAAGACAUGAAAAGGUAAAAAAAUACGGUGACAUGAAUGGUCUUUUAACACAAUAUUAUUACAAAUUAAAAAAAUGAAAAAAAAUAAAAAUCACAAAAUCCCUUUGUAAAACCAUAACCGUCCCUUCUUCAACCCGAGUCCCCACCAUCCUUCUUCAACCCUAGCCACCUGCAACUGAAGAUUAACACAAUGGUGGUCUGCACCUCUGGAGCUCUAACCCAACUUCGCACCUCGUGGACGACACCCGGGUCGUCACUUCCAUCGAUGAUCAAAGCUGCGAUUUUGAUGCUUGGGCUGAGCCACCCAUGAUCCAGAACCUUGUUGUUAUGAUUCCAGGGCUGUUGGGCACCAUUAACAGACAUUAAGAGAAUGCAAUCAUAAUGGAAAACAUGAACAGAAAUCUUGAAGAACAAGUAAAAAAAUGGCUAAGGAGAACAAGAUGCUUAAAGUGAUCCUAGGGUUCAGUUGGUUCUUAGUCAGGAUGUGGGUUGUGUUAGUUUGGUCUAGGUGAACAAGUAUUGGGCGUUUGUAAGUGUUAUGUAUUAUAUUUUGUAUGUAAUGACAAUUAAUCUAAUGAAAUAUAUGGGGCUU
rnacentral:lncRNA from 1 species